AUGUAUAGAUUUGUCCAUUUCCCAGAGAGUGAGGACAAGGUUAGUGUAUGUGUAUGGAUUUUAAACAAUGAUUACAUAUUUCUUAGUUCCUUUUUCAAAACAAAGUGCUUUUCUCUCAGUAUUCAUUCAGUUGAGGUCUUUAACUGGUGAGUGAAUGUUUGUGUUCAUGUUAGGACUGGGCAAUCUAUCGAAA